rnacentral:rRNA from 1 species
UACGGAGGAUGCGAGCGUUAUCCGGAUUUAUUGGGUUUAAAGGGUGCGUAGGCGGGAUGCCAAGUCAGCGGUAAAAAUGCGGUGCUCAACGCUGUCGAGCCGUUGAAACUGGCGUUCUUGAGUGGGCGAGAAGUAUGCGGAAUGCGUGGUGUAGCGGUGAAAUGCAUAGAUAUCACGCAGAACUCCGAUUGCGAAGGCGGCAUACCGGCGCCCUACUGACGCUGAGGCACGAAAGCGUGGGUAUCGAACAGG